UCCCUGGUAGCUCAGACGGUAAAGCGCCUGCCUACAAUGCAGGAGACCCGGGUUCGAUCACUGGGUCGGGAA
rfam:TPA: Bos taurus chromosome 21, whole genome shotgun sequence.